rnacentral:rRNA from 1 species
GCUUACGGCCAUACCAGCCUGGGUACGCCCGAUCUCGUUUGAUCUCGGAAGCUAAGCAGGGUCGUCCCUGGUUAGUACUUGGAUGGGAGACGGCCUGGGAAUACCAGGUGCUGUAAGCA